rnacentral:rRNA from 1 species
GAUGAACGCUAGCGGCAGGCCUAACACAUGCAAGUCGAGGGAGGAGCUUUCGGGCUUCGACCGGCGUACGGGUGCGUAUCGCGUAUACAAUCUGCCUUUCACAUAGGGAUAGCCCGAAGAAAUUUGGAUUAAUACCUAAUGGUAUAUAGGAGUGGCAUCACCUUUAUAUUAAAGCUGAGGCGGUGAAAGAUGAGUAUGCGUUCUAUUAGCUAGUUGGAGAGGUAACGGCGCCCCAAGGCGACGAUAGAUAGGGGUUCUGAGAGGGAUAUCCCCCACACUGGUACUGAGAUACGGACCAGACUCCUACGGGAGGCAGCAGUGAGGAAUAGUGGACAAUGGUCGGAAGACUGAUCCAGCCAUGCCGCGUGCAGGAAGACGGCCUUAUGGGUUGUAAACUGCUUUUGCAGGGGAAGAAUAAGGAGUACGUGUACUUUGAUGACGGUACUCUGCGAAUAAGCAUCGGCUAACUCCGUG